rnacentral:rRNA from 1 species
UCGCGCUAUUGGAGCGGCCGAUGUCGGAUUAGCUAGUUGGUGAGGUAAAGGCUCACCAAGGCGACGAUCCGUAGCUGGUCUGAGAGGACGACCAGCCACACUGGGACUGAGACACGGCCCAGACUCCUACGGGAGGCAGCAGUGGGGAAUUUUGGACAAUGGGCGAAAGCCUGAUCCAGCAAUGCCGCGUGAGUGAAGAAGGCCUUCGGGUUGUAAAGCUCUUUUGUCAGGGAAGAAACGGUGGUUUCUAAUACAGAUCACUAAUGACGGUACCUGAAGAAUAAGCACCGGCUAACUACGUGCCAGCAGCCGCGGUAAUACGUAGGGUGCAAGCGUUAAUCGGAAUUACUGGGCGUAAAGCGUGCGCAGGCGGUUCCGCAAGUCAGAUGUGAAAUCCCCG